ACAGGGAAGUUAUCUUCUACCGAAAGCCACCGGGAGAGGAAGUCUUGAGGACAAGAUGGGCUGAUGUUCAAAGAUGGCAAAGACCGACGGCAUUUUUAGGAAACAUUCAACAGUGUCACUCAAAUGCUGGAUCAACAGAAACUUUUACAAUUAAAAAAAAAGAGAUGGU